rnacentral:lncRNA from 1 species
AAGUCUGUGCUCGUCCUCAGAGCAGCGAAGGCAUCCUUCCUCACCUCACUUACCUCACAGACGAGCACAUCAGGCUGGCUGCUCAGUCACAGCCCACAGGGUCUUUUUGGCAUGGUGAGAGAAAAUUGGAUAAAGACUAUUCAAGUCGGGAUUGUUUGCAAGCAGGUCACUGGUGGCCCUUUGCAGUCCAUGGACCACAAUGCGUCUCAGUCACUUUUGCCAUCUCUAGUAGGACAACAGAAGACUUCCAAAAUAGCCUGCUGGGAAAGGGGACGCCUGGUAUUUAUGGAGGACAGCAAUGCAAACAAACCAGCUCCAAAUGAACCUUGA